GCGCUGAUGGUGUAAGGCGUAGCAUGGCUGCCCGGAAACCAGAAAGUGCGGGUUCGAGUUCCGUCUGGCGCA
rfam:Heligmosomoides polygyrus genome assembly, scaffold: HPBE_scaffold0009182